UACGGAGGGUGCAAGCGUUAUCCGGAUUCACUGGGUUUAAAGGGUGCGUAGGCGGGCAGGUAAGUCAGCGGUGGAAUCUCCGAGCUUAACCCGGAAACUGCCGUUGAUACUAUCUGUCUUGAAUAUCGUGGAGGUAAGCGGAAUAUGUCAUGUAGCGGUGAAAUGCUUAGAUAUGACAUAGAACACCCAUUGCGAAGGCAGCUUACUACACGAUCAUUGACGCUGAGGCACGAAAGCGUGGGGAGCAAACAGG
rnacentral:rRNA from 1 species